rnacentral:misc_RNA from 1 species
GAUGAAGAACGCAGCGAAAUGCGAUAAGUAAUGUGAAUUGCAGAAUUCAGUGAAUCAUCGAAUCUUUGAACGCACAUUGCGCCCGCUAGUAUUCUGGCGGGCAUGCCUGUCUGAGCGUCAUUUCAACCCUCAGCGCCCGUUCGCGGGAGCUGGUGUUGGGGAUCGGCCGUCCUUGCGGCGGCCGGCCCCGAAAUCUAGUGGCGGUCUCCUCGCGACCUCCUCUGCGUAGUAACACUACCUCGCACUGGAGAGCGGCGCGGCCACGCCGUAAAAGAAACGAACUUUCUCAAGGUUGACCUCGGAUCAGGUAGGAAUACCCGCUGAACUUAAGCAUAUCAAUAAGCGGAGGA